AUUGAACGCUGGCGGCAGGCCUAACACAUGCAAGUCGAACGAGUGGCGGACGGGUGAGUAAUGUCUGGGAAACUGCCCGAUGGCGGGGGAUAACUACUGGAAACGGUAGCUAAUCCCGCAUACAAUCGGAUGAUGCCAGCUGGGAUUAGCUAGUAGGUGGGGUAAUGGCUCACCUAGACGACGAUCCCUAGCUGGUCUGCGAGGAUGAACAGCCACACUGGAACUGAGGCACGGGCCAGACGCCUACGGGAGGCAGCAGUGGGGAAUCUUGCGCAAUGGGCGCAAGCCUGACGCAGCCAUGCCGCGUGUAUGAAGAAGGCCUUCGGGUUGUAAAGGACUUUAAGCGAGGAGGCGUUACUCGCAGAAGAAGCACCGGCUAACUCCGUGCCAGCAGCCGCGGUAAUUC
rnacentral:rRNA from 1 species